UACGAAGGGUGCAAGCGUUAAUCGGAAUUACUGGGCGUAAAGGGUGCGUAGGCGGUUAUUUAAGUUUGCCGUGAAAUCCCCGGGCUCAACCUGGGAAUGGCGGUGGAUACUGGAUAGCUAGAGUGUGUCAGAGGAUGGUGGAAUUCCCGGUGUAGCGGUGAAAUGCGUAGAGAUCGGGAGGAACAUCAGUGGCGAAGGCGGCCAUCUGGGACAACACUGACGCUGAAGCACGAAAGCGUGGGGAGCAAACAGG
rnacentral:rRNA from 1 species